GCUCUCGUGGCGCAAUUGGCUAGCGCGUCUGACUGUUAAUCAGGAGGUUGGUGGUUCGAGCCCACCCGAGAGCG